rnacentral:lncRNA from 1 species
AAUGAAGGGGAAGGAGUAGUGGGAGAGUAAUGCUAGUGAAAGGGACAGGGGGACAGAAAAGGAGUAGUAGGUGGAAGUAGCAAAAGAAGGCUGGGGGAAGGAGGAGUGGGUGGUUGGCGAGAUGGAGUUUAGUGGUGGGGUAAGGAGAAUUAAGGAGUGGACAGGGUAGUGGCAGAUAGGGGUAUUGAGGGAGGUGGAAUGGUGGCUGGGUUGACCGAGGAAGAGGGUCGC